AUUGAACGCUGGCGGCAGGCCUAACACAUGCAAGUCGAGCGAGCGGCGGCCGGGUGUGUAAUGUCUGGGAAACUCCCUGAUGGAGGGGGAUAACUACUGUAAACGGUAGCUAAUACCGCAUACCAUCUGAUGUGCCCAGAUGGGAUUAGCUAGUAGGUGGGGUAACGGCUCACCUAGGCGACGAUCCCUAGCUGGUCUGAGAGGAUGACCAGCCACACUGGAACGGAGACACGGUCCAGACUCCUACGGGAGGCAGCAGUGGGGAAGAUUGCACAAUGGGCGCAAGCCUGAUGCAGCCAUGCCGGGUGUGUGAAGAAGGCCUUCGGGUUUUAAAGCACUUUCAGCGGGGAGGCGUUACCCGCAGAAGAAGCACCGGCUAACGCCGUGCCAGCCGCCGCGGUAAUUC
rnacentral:rRNA from 1 species